rnacentral:rRNA from 1 species
CCCGAGCGUUGUUCGGAUUCACUGGGCGUAAAGGGUGCGUAGGUGGCAUAGAAAGUUUGAUGUGAAAGCUCAGGGCUUAACCCUGAAAUGGCAUUGAAUACUGCUGUGCUGGAGGUUUGGAGGGGGGACUGGAAUUCUUGGUGUAGCAGUGAAAUGCGUAGAUAUCAAGAGGAACACCAGUGGCGAAGGCGAGUCCCUGGACAACACCUGACACUGAGGCACGAAAGCUAGGGGAGCAAACAGG